rnacentral:sRNA from 1 species
ACUGGGACCCCGGAAUCCUGCGCGCUGCCCACGAUUCGCUUCUGAGGAACCUAGCAAGAUUGUACAAUGAAUGGUGAUUCUCGUGCUGCGGUGGUGACCUCACCACCCCCGACCACAGCCCCUCACAAGGAGAGGUACUUCGACCGAGUAGAUGAGAACAACCCAGAGUACUUGAGGGAGAGGAACAUGGCACCAGACCUUCGCCAGGACUUCAACAUGAUGGAGCAAAAGAAGAGGGUGUCCAUGAUUCUGCAAAGCCCUGCUUUCUGUGAAGAAUUGGAAUCAAUGAUACAGGAGCAAUUUAAGAAGGGGAAGAACCCCACAGGCCUAUUGGCUUUACAGCAGAUUGCAGAUUUUAUGACCACGAAUGUACCAAAUGUCUACCCAGCAGCUCCGCAAGGAGGGAUGGCUGCCUUAAACAUGAGUCUUGGUAUGGUGACUCCUGUGAACGAUCUUAGAGGAUCUGAUUCUAUUGCGUAUGACAAAGGAGAGAAGUUAUUACGGUGUAAAUUGGCAGCGUUUUAUAGACUAGCAGAUCUCUUUGGGUGGUCUCAGCUUAUCUACAAUCAUAUCACAACCAGAGUGAACUCCGAGCAGGAACACUUCCUCAUUGUCCCUUUUGGGCUUCUUUACAGUGAAGUGACUGCAUCCAGUUUGGUUAAGAUCAAUCUACAAGGAGAUAUAGUAGAUCGUGGAAGCACUAAUCUGGGAGUAAAUCAAGCCGGCUUCACCUUACACUCUGCAAUUUAUGCUGCACGCCCGGACGUGAAGUGCGUUGUGCACAUUCACACCCCAGCAGGGGCUGCGGUCUCUGCAAUGAAAUGUGGCCUCUUGCCAAUCUCCCCGGAGGCGCUUUCCCUUGGAGAAGUGGCUUAUCAUGACUACCAUGGCAUUCUGGUUGAUGAAGAGGAAAAAGUUUUGAUUCAGAAAAAUCUGGGGCCUAAAAGCAAGGUUCUUAUUCUCCGGAACCAUGGGCUCGUGUCAGUUGGAGAGAGCGUUGAGGAGGCCUUCUAUUACAUCCAUAACCUUGUGGUUGCCUGUGAGAUCCAGGUUCGAACUCUGGCCAGUGCAGGAGGACCAGACAACUUAGUCCUGCUGAAUCCUGAGAAGUACAAAGCCAAGUCCCGUUCCCCAGGGUCUCCGGUAGGGGAAGGCACUGGAUCGCCUCCCAAGUGGCAGAUUGGUGAGCAGGAAUUUGAAGCCCUCAUGCGGAUGCUCGAUAAUCUGGUAAGAAUGGUGCCACCACUUGAUGAUAAACCUUUUGUUCUAAAAGCAUCAGUGUUGGUGUUCUUAUAGCAAGUGCGAUUGCUGUCUUUUAUGCAGUAUCUGAAUACCUUCACCUUCAAAGUCAUGAAGAAGCACUAGGGUUAACUUCUAAGGUAAAUUACAAUAAAAUGUAGAGGUGAAGGGUUCCUGGUAUUGUUUUAUUUUUUAAAGAUAACCUUGUGUUUGGACUCAGUGGGGACAAGAGCACAGAGAAUGCGUAGGCAGCUGGAUGACCAGCUGUGUCAGCUCAGUCCCCACCAUCCCACAAGCAAGCGAGAGAGGUGGCACUUUUGAAAUCG